rnacentral:rRNA from 1 species
AGUGGACGCUGGCGGUAGGCCUAACACAUGCAAGUCGAACGGCAGCACAGUAAGAGCUUGCUCUUACGGGUGGCGAGUGGCGGACGGGUGAGGAAUACAUCGGAAUCUACUUUUUCGUGGGGGAUAACGUAGGGAAACUUACGCUAAUACCGCAUACGACCUACGGGUGAAAGCAGGGGAUCUUCGGACCUUGCGCGAUUGAAUGAGCCGAUGUCGGAUUAGCUAGUUGGCGGGGUAAAGGCCCACCAAGGCGACGAUCCGUAGCUGGUCUGAGAGGAUGAUCAGCCACACUGGAACUGAGACACGGUCCAGACUCCUACGGGAGGCAGCAGUGGGGAAUAUUGGACAAUGGGCGCAAGCCUGAUCCAGCCAUACCGCGUGGGUGAAGAAGGCCUUCGGGUUGUAAAGCCCUUUUGUUGGGAAAGAAAAGCAGCAGGUUAAUACCCCGCUGUUCUGACGGUACCCAAAGAAUGAGCACCGGCUAACUUCGUG